rnacentral:rRNA from 1 species
GGCGAUCUACUGGAACAUUAUUGACGCUGAGACGCGAAAAGCGUGGGGAGCAAACAGGAUUAGAUACCCUGGUAGUCCACGCCCUAAACGAUGUACACUAGUUGUUGUGAGGCUAGACCUUGCAGUAAUGCAGUUAACACAUUAAGUGUACCGCCUGGGGAGUACGGUCGCAAGAUUAAAACUCAAAGGAAUAGACGGGGACCCGCACAAGCGGUGGAGCAUGUGGUUUAAUUCGACGAUACGCGAAGAACCUUACCUGGACUUGACAUAGAAAGAAUAACGCAGAGAUGUGAUAGUGCUAGCUUGCUAGAACUUUCAUACAGGUGCUGCACGGCUGUCGUCAGCUCGUGUCGUGAGAUGUUGGGUUAAGUCCCGCAACGAGCGCAACCCUCGUCGUUAGUUGCUAACAGUUCGGCUGAGAACUCUAACGAGACUGCCUGGGUAACCAGGAGGAAGGUGAGGACGACGUCAAGUCAUCAUGGCCCUUACGUCCAGGGCUACACACGUGCUACAAUGGGGCAUACAAAGAGCAGCGAUACCGCGAGGUGGAGCAAAUCUCAAAAAUG